GCGCCCGUAGCUCAGUUGGAUAGAGCGUCUGUCUACGGAACAGAAGGCCGGGAGUUCGAAUCUCUCCGGGCGCA
rnacentral:tRNA from 1 species